rnacentral:lncRNA from 1 species
AUUAGAGUCGGAGCCACUCGGGGGGGGAGGAUCGGCGUAGCUUAGCGUGGUGAGACUAAGAGGCCCGAGCUGCAGAGCAGCGGCUGCUUUGUAGGGCCGGAACGAGCCUGCAGAGGAGUGGCAACAAAGACGUUGCGUCCCCCUCCAUCAGUCAAGUGCACGUCUGCAGCUCCUCUGAGGAACUCCCUGUUGGGACGGAGAGGAAAUGGCUGCCCCGCCGCUACCAAGCAUCUUUAGUGCCCCAUUGCAUCCCAGUGCCAACAGCCUCACUAUGAAUUCCAUAGCUGCCUAAUAAAGUUGGACUUUCGCAGCUCAGAAGUCCUCAGCUCAACUUCGGCUCGACUCGACACGCACCGCACGACUUCGUAGCCAAUAGAUGGCUACAGGGCACAUGAAGCAGCAGGAACCCAACGGAAGACGCAUAGCCAGCUGAUCCACGGCAACAGCCACAGCCCGCUUCUAAGCGCUAUGUCUCUCGAUGUCCAACGAAAUUGCUUCCCUUCAACGCUGCUGAUAACUGCUUUCUAAUUCGUUGCAUCUCCUCUGUCAGCCUUAUGCCAGAGUUUGCAUGAGGGUUCGCAAAGUUUCCUGUUACACCAUCCGGAUCAUGUAAAGUUUGAACCUGAUAUUCAGUUAAGUAGUAUAAUCCUGCCAUUAUACUACUUAUCAUGAUUAGGUGUGAUUGUGAGUGCGAAUUAAAGCAUGUUACAUGUAUUUUCUGUGUCCCCUC